CAUGAUUCGACCUGGUGGUCGGGCGAGGCUUUUAACCUCGGGGGGCUUAGUAGCCCAGUGGUUCAAUUCCAUCUUGC
rnacentral:tRNA from 14 species